rnacentral:rRNA from 1 species
GCUAACAGCCAUAUCACCCUGCAACUCACAGCUGGCAAUCCACUGAAGUUAAGCAGGUGUGAGCCUGGUCAGUACCUGGAUGGAGACCUUCUGGGAAAAACUAAGGUAGCUGCUGGAA